GGGGAUGAUCGGUUUCGACGAUGACCUGUUCGUCGCAGGGAAGCGUGCCGAGAAUGUGGAGUCCACUCGUGAUGACCUCCACAAAAGAACAAGUGCUAAAUCUAAUCGCACUGAGUUCGCACUCGCUGCCUGAGCCUAGCGCCAGGAUUUAACCAGUGAGCUGCUGCUCCGUCCACUCCUUUUUGUCUUCGGGAGGAUGUUGGGCGUCAUUAGAGGACUUGCUUGAGCUACUGAACCACAGGGUGACUCAGGGACUUUAACUGUAGAUAUGCUCGCCAUUCAUCGUCCGUGAUACGAAUGGGGGCAGAAAAACUGCCAUACGGCCAACGGACUACGCACGUAGAAGACUGGGGGUUCGGUUAUCGGACCGGGGUUCAAUUCCCCGCAUCUCCACAA
rnacentral:tmRNA from 1 species